GACGAACGCUGGCGGCGUGCCUAAUACAUGCAAGUCGAACGCACAGUUUAUACCGUAGCUUGCUACACCAUAGACUGUGAGUUGCGAACGGGUGAGUAACGCGUAGGUAACCUGCCUGGUAGCGGGGGAUAACUAUUGGAAACGAUAGCUAAUACCGCAUAAUAUUAAUUAUUGCAUGAUAAUUAAUUGAAAGGUGCAAUUGCACCACUACCAGAUGGACCUGCGUUGUAUUAGCUAGUAGGUGAGGUAACGGCUCACCUAGGCGACGAUACAUAGCCGACCUGAGAGGGUGAGCGGCCACCCUGGGACUGAGACACGGCACAGACUCCUACGGGAGGCAGCAGUAGGGCAUCUUCGGCAAGGGACGAAAGUCUGACCGAGCAACGCCGAGUGAGGGAAGAAGGUUGUCGGAUCGUAAAGCUCGGUUGUAAGAGAAGAACGGGUGUGAGAGUGGAAAGUUCACACUGUGACGGUAUCUUACCAGAAAGGGACGGCUAACUACGUG
rnacentral:rRNA from 1 species